CCUACGGGUGGCAGCAGUGAGGAAUAUUGGUCAAUGGGCGUAAGCCUGAACCAGCCAAGUCGCGUGAGGGAUGAAGGUUCUAUGGAUCGUAAACCUCUUUUAUAAGGGAAUAAAGUGUGGGACGUGUCCUGUUUUGUAUGUACCUUAUGAAUAAGGAUCGGCUAACUCCGUGCCAGCAGCCGCGGUAAUACGGAGGAUCCGAGCGUUAUCCGGCUUUAUUGGGUUUAAAGGGUGCGUAGGCGGCCUUUUAAGUCAGCGGUGAAAGUCUGUGGCUCAACCAUAGAAUUGCGGUUGACACUGGGAGGCUUGAGUAUGUUUGAGGCAGGCGGAAUGCGUGGUGUAGCGGUGAAAUGCUUAGAUAUCACGCAGAACCCCGAUUGCGAAGGCAGCCUGCCAAGCCAUGACUGACGCUGAUGCACGAAAGCGUGGGGAUCAAACAGGAUUAGAUACCCCGGUAGUC
rnacentral:rRNA from 1 species